UCCUCCCCCUUGACAACCACUGAUUUGCUUGCUGUCAUUAGAGAUUAGUUUUCAAGUUCUACAGCUGUGCAGUCUCUAGCCACAUGUGCUGGUGAACAUGAGUUGUGGGCUGAUCCGGAUUAAGAUGCAAUGCCAAGCUUUUGAUGUGAGGACAAUCUUUAUAAGAAACGUCGUUGGAAAAACUGAAUAUUCACAUGCAAAAGAAUGAGGUCUUGAUACUUUUUCCUGGCUGAUUUCAACCCCUUGGCCUCAAGUGGUCCUCCAACUUUAUCCUCACAAAGGACUGAGAUU